rnacentral:rRNA from 1 species
GCUACUACCUGCCCACCACCCAGGGUCAUACUGAGGGUGCAACCGAUAAUCGUAAUCACGAGCCGUAAAUCGUAGUGAGGAGGUUCGGUAAGGCUCUUGUGAAAGCGCCCGGCUCAACUGGGAGAGACCAAGGGAAACUACCGGGCUGGAGUGUGGUAGAGGAAGCUAGAAUUCCCGGUGUAGCGGUGAAAUGCGUAGAUAUCGGGAGGAAUACCUAUGGCGAAAGCAGGCUUCUGGACCAUCACUGACGCUGAGCUGCGAAAGCUAGGGGAGCAAACAGGAUUUGAUACCCGAGUAGUC